rnacentral:lncRNA from 1 species
AAACAUAUUGCAAGCAUUAGGAUGAAAGCCUCCCACUGAGGGCAGUGGAGCAGGAAGAAGAGAGGACUCUGUCUUGUGAGUGACAUUCUUGAGCAGUUUCACCAGAGCUAGGCCUCAAAUCUUAUUUUGAGGGAAUAAAAGGACUUAUCUGUUUAAGCUGGUGGUGAAUCUGCAUUGUGUCAAUUGAAGUAAAAAACCUUCCAGGUUGAUAUGCUUGCUGAUUUUCCUACUCUUAACAAGAACUGUCCAUCAAAAAGUUAGAGUGUUGGCAGAAAGCCCAGGGACAGAGAUGCCUCCUAGCUUCUUUAUUCCUUUGAGAGUCUGCAGGCUGUUCAAUUUAGCUACUCACAAUUUAUAAUGUAAGGCAGUGCAAGGGGGACAUGGUUAAUUUACUCUGGAUUCAUUAAUUUAAAACAUUUUUAGAGUUGAAGCCAGAAUAUUCUAUUUCUUAAAUCUACUUUAAGUAUAAUUAUAACAACUAGAAUAGGUACCUGAAUUAUCUCGUAGAGAUCUGAGAGCUAGUCCUUCACAGAAAGUCUAUUAGAACAAUUCUGUGUCAUUUGCGUGAAUGGAGUGUCAUAUAUAUAAAAAGUGACAGAAAACAUUUUCUUUGUAAGAUUAGUUUUUAGAAGUCUCUAACAUCCCACCAAUUCCUGAGUGAUUUCUCAGUGUAAUUAAAGGUACAGUUCCAUAAUCUAAGACAUCUCAUGGGUCCAACGGAAAACAACUCCAUAUCAUUCUGAUUUAGUGUUUCUUGCUCAGAGUGUUCUAGAAUCUACUUAAAAAUGGUUCCGAAAGUAAGGAUACAUUUAAUGACUAAUAUCUUCAAUGAAAUGUUUUAAGAAUAUUAUUAAAAUAUCCCAAUUCUCAAAAUUGAAGAUUUUAUCUCAUUCUCACAGGGCUAUAUGAAGAAAAAAGCAGAGGAAAUACUGAUGCCUCUGUAAUCAAAGGCUGUCUGUCAGCUUUUCAUAAGCUAGAGGACAGAAUGGGAAAGAUUGUCCCUGCAGACAUCAGAAGGAAGCAUAAAUGCCAACAGCUAGGUACCAACCUUCCCAAUUCUAAAAACGGGUCUAUGACAUAUUGUGACUGUCAUUAAAGUCAUUUCUGUGCAAAAGAAACCUCACUAACAGUCUUGAGGCUUUCUGAUAUCACUGGAUUCUUCUUGUUCCUGGUCCAUUUGGAUUCUUGGGAGUCCACAUAAACUGGUAAGAGGAUUAAUUUUAUGUUUUCCUCAGUUACUGUGGGAACAAAAUGAUGCU